UUGAUCCCGCCGGACCCGACUGCUAUCAGAGUGGGACUAAGCCAUGCGAGUCAACGCAGCAAUGCGUGGCAUACGGCUCAGUAACACGUAGUCAACAUGCCCAGGGGACGUGGAUAACCUCGGGAAACUGAGGAUAAACCGCGAUAGGCCAAGGUUUCUGGAAUGGACACUGGCUGAAACCUACAUGGCCCCUGGAUUGGACUGCGGCCGAUCAGGCUGUUGGUGAGGUAAUGGCCCACCAAACCUGUAACCGGUACGGGCUUUGAGAGAAGGAGCCCGGAGAUGGGCACUGAGACAAGGGCCCAGGCCCUAUGGGGCGCAGCAGGCGCGAAAAUUCUGCAAUAGGCGAAAGCUUGACAGAGUUACUCUGAGUGAUGCCCGCUAAGGGCAUCUUUUGGCACCUCUAAAAAUGGUGUAGAAUAAGGGGUGGGCAAGUCUGGUGUCAGCCGCCGCGGUAAUACCAGCACCCCGAGUGGUCGGGACGAUUAUUGGGCCUAAAGCAUCCGUAGCUUGUUCUGCAAGUCUUCCGUUAAAUCCACCUGCUCAACAGAUGGGCUGCGGGAGAUACUACAGGGCUAGGAGGCGGGAGAGGCAAGCGGUACUCAGUGGGUAGGGGUAAAAUCCUCUGAUCCACUGAAGACCACCAGUGGCGAAGGCGGCUUGCCAGAACGCGCUCGACGGUGAGGGAUGAAAGCUGGGGGAGCAAACCGGAUUAGAUACC
rnacentral:rRNA from 1 species